GAAACAGUAGCACAACUGAUUAUACACUCUAAUUUCAGAGGAAAAGUGAACAUAUUCCUUUGACUUCUGCAAACUAAAAUGUUUCCAAUUUUGCAUGUUGUUGAUUCAGUUGGAUUUUAUACCGAUGGAACAAACUGGAAUUCCAAGAGGACACACCAUGAUGUGUUAAUAAGAGGGAAGGUAUCAUUUACUACAUACAAUUGAAUUACUGGUUUCCACUUUUAAAAAAACACAUAGCAUAUCAGAGUCAUCAACGUUGGUGAGAACAGUCUGUGAGCGGACAAGUGUACAGAAGGGACGAUGCUACUGGGUCCAGACAGACUGACGUCUGUCAAUCACGCGUAGCGAAUGUUACAGCUUUAGCCUAUAGGCCUGCCUACAACAUACAUGUUCCAGCUUUAACCUAUAGGCCUGCCUAGUACCUACAAUUACACACGUGUUGCAUGCAUGACACCAGUGUUACGCAAGCUCCUGCUGUUGUUCGCUGCAAAGCCUUCUUCUAUGGUUGAGACAUACUUAUUGUGGAGUGGUAGAACCGACAGGGAGAUAUAUUUACACUAGUUACAUUUACGUACUCUCUCUUUACUCUCUGUGUCAAAGAGUUAGGCAACAUUUAACAAUUGUUUAAAAAAGUAAGAGAUGAAUAAUUGGUUAUUAUAGAAAAACGAUAUGAGCUUCAACUGAAUGAGUGCCUUUUAUAGACAAGUCUAUUUAUUCAGUAAUGUUCAGGGAGAUAUUUGUUACAGAAAAUGUUACUGUGUGUAAUGAAAGGACUUCCUCCUUAGGUCAAUUCAACAGCUGUGACUUCCUGUUUUCAUUCUUUCCUAGAUGAAUACAUGUCAGUACUAUGUUCCAUGGCUUUAUGUCUUGGAAACAGUUCUCCUCUUCCAUUUGCACAUUGCAGUUUUAUUUCGAAUCACAACUAAACUAGGGUUAUAGCUAAUUGUCUAAUGACAAUAUUUCCAUUUUAGCAGUUUUGUCACAAAAAAUGAUCUACAAAAAGAUAUUAGUUGUUUCCAUUUGCCUUAAUGUAGAAUAAGGGCAUAUAGUAUAUCUGAACGUUCCUACACUGUUGACUUUUAUUGAGGUGUAGUGGUUACAGUCAGCUAGAUAGCUAGUUUUUUAAAGUGCAUAAUUCCAGUUUACAUUUGGAAUUGUGUAGAGAGUUGUAUGACGAUUCUACACAGUCACAAACAUUCACUGUGAUGGAAACAGCCAUUGUCGACUAAACAUGAAAGAAUAUAUGCUUGCAGCAACACAAGCCACAACAAAACAGUCACACACC
rnacentral:lncRNA from 13 species